UCAGAUUUCAAAGAUAAUCUUGGUAACCUCCAUCACAUUUACAUUUGAGUAACCCCGCCUGAGAAGUCUAGUGUUCUGGUAGGGCAUGUGAUCUUUUAAACUGCUUCCCGUCUGUCGUUGCGUUCGUGGCUGCCUUAACGUACGCGUUGGUCAGUAACGUAGCUUUAGGCUUGUUGAAUACUGAUUAGGUUGCAGUUACACUACCAACUGAUCGGGGAUCGGGGUGCAUUCAACUUUACAUGGCCCUGGAAGGAUAAACUUCACUCUUUCGGACAAUAUUUGUUUGCUAAAAUAUUCUUCCUAGUUGUCUACCGCUAGAAAAUAGAUAUCUGGUGGACCAAGGGUGACAUUCCCACUCAGUAUUAUUGUUAAAAUAUAAAUCACGAAGGGCUUUGUAUUUCGUGGUCAAGCUAAAGGAUCAGAAACGGCUCGCUUGUCUAAUAUUGGGAUUUAAUUUCGAAAGAGAUUGAGCGGUAACGGCUCAGUGUGCCCGCUUGAGCGAUUCUACGUAAAUCCGCCGCGACGAGAGUACAAUAAAACGUUUUCCUUCUAAACUUUGAUUAUUACCCGUGCAUCGGAUAAGCUACAACACUUAACGGACUGUUGACCUGUAUUUUGAAAUUAGGCUUUUGUAGGUCUUUGUAGGUACAACUCGCGUGCGAAAAUGCAGAUAAAAACUGGUGAAAUUUUUGUUUUUUUGGCGGGAAAUCGAUACGAGUGCCCGCGAGCACUCAAAACCAGCGGAUUUCUUCUCAGCAUAAAAUCCAAUAUGGCGGGUCUGUGGGCAACAUAAAACGUCAAUCAAUGCAGAUCGGCGAAGGUUUUCUCUCAAAUAAUCAGCACUUGUACUUGUUUUUGGAUUUUGUACCGAACAGAUUCUACAUUGAUGAUAAUUAUUCUUGAUUGAUGUCAGUUUUUAAACAAGGCUGGUGCUCUUGAUCUUGAUCCUCGGUCUUCAGUUCGUUCCACGGGGAAUCAUCGUUCCUUUGGAAGUUGAAGGAGACUGAGCUGUUUAACAGACUCCCACCCUGUAUGAGCUAAUAUACUGGAUACGCAGCAACAACGUCAGGGGAAUAUAUAAAAGAUAAGUAAGAAAUUCACAGAACAGUAUCUGUAGGUCACACAGUUUGCUACCCUUAGUUGUUGUGAUCAUAACUAUCCUUACCAAGUUUGCACUAAAAUACCUUCAGGCUAAAAGAAUGGACCGUAACAAAUUCAUUUGUGACCACAACUUUUUAGCAAUUCAAUGUCUGGAUUCAACUUCCAAAGAAAAAUAAUUCACCACCUAUCUGACAAAGAAGUUACUGCUAUCACUCUAACUCCCUGUGUUUCUUGACCUGUGAAGCAAACACUGGUCCUUCUUCCUAAUUGUACAAGAGAAAUUUGUUUAGGCCCUUGGACUGUCUGCAUGCGUGGAAUGGAUCUUGAACCUUGUACAAGAGAUGGGUGUAAGAACUGACCUGCACAGGAUUUGGUUCCACCCAACAAAUUCCUUUCCUGAGUUUCUUGAUUUGUGAAACAAAGAUUGGUCUUCCAAACUGUAGAAGAGAAGAAAUUUGUUUUGGCCUUUGGACUGUCUGCAUGCGUGGAAUGGAUCUUGAACUUUGUACAAGAGACGGGUGUAAGAACUGACCUACAAAGGAGUUGGUUCCACCCAACAAAUUCUCUUCCUAAGUUUCUUGAUCGGUGAAACAAAGACUGAUCUUCCAAAUUGUAGAAGAAAAGAAAUUUGUUUUGGCCCUUGGACUGUCUGCAUGCGUGGAAUGGAUCUUGAACUUUGUACAAGAGACGGGUGUAAGAACUGACCUACAAAGGAGUUGGUUUCACCCAACAAAUUCUCUUCCUGAGUUUCUUGAUCUGUCCAACAAAGACUGGUCUUCUAAAUUGUACAAGAGGAGACAUUUUGUCUUGGCCCUUGGCCUGUCAGCAUGCAUGGAAUGGAUCUUGAGAAUAGUGAUCUCUAACAUCUUUUUGUUUGGAAUCGAAUUGGUUUUAAAUUCAAUUUUACUGUCAGCUGAUCUGUAAGAAAAUUAUGAAGUUUCCUCUGUGUUUAGUACAACAGGGAGUAAACCGGAGAAAAUUCAAUCUGAUAUGGCCAAGUGAGGUCAUACAAUGUAGUUGAAUUAUAAAGCUAAUUUUUGGUUUGUUAUUCCUUCCCUUGUGAUAUUCAGGUGUAGAGCUGCAUUUCAAGUUUCCAUUCUUGAUGCUCAGUUGUAAAAAAAUCAGUUAGGAAAUAACAAGCCACAACGAAACAUGUCAAGGCAGCAGUGGAAGUGCAGCAAACGUUUGCUUCAUAGAAGUUAAUCUCACGUUGAAACAUUAAUGACGCCCUAAGCUGCUGCUUCUUUUUUUUUUUUUUAUUUCGUCAACACUUACACUUCAUUACAUUAAUUACUUACACUUCAUUACUUAAUUUUUUUAGUCAGUUUCGACUAUUUAUAUCAUUUCUUAAAACAUUGCUCUUUUGUUUUGAACGUUAAUUGUACGAAGACGAAAGACUAGAUGUUGUUUCCUGCACAAUCAGUCGGGAUUAUUCAAAACACCUUACGCAUGAUGGCCGUCAUGUUGGUUUUGACAUGAAAGUUGAGUGGCAAAUUGGAAUUUCUGAAGUGAAAAUGAGUUUAAAAAUGUGCAAAUUUCAACUUCUUUCUUAUUAUUUCUGAUAGUGUUUAGUAGCCAGGCUAUGCUUCUCGUAUGGCUCUAUAAAGUACUCUCAAUUAUAGGCAAUUUUGGUGCAUUUCUGAAAACAAAAGGGCUUGGUCAUAUCGCUCAACUAGAGUAAUCUAACCAUAGUAGUAAAAUCAAGAUUUCUUUAUUUUGCACAGUGUUUUACUUUUGAAGAGUCCAUCUUCCGACAACUCUCGUCUUCCAAUGUUUGGUUCUCGAAAGACCACAUGGCUAAUUUACAUUAAACAUGAAAACUGUCAUGGCGGCUAAUGUGAAUGAGGUCUAUUGACGUGCUUGGGAAUAGAGUUUUCUCCCAAAGGGCUUCUCGUGUUUUUAUGAAGCCAGUGACGAAAAUAGCUGACCGUUUGAAGUGUAAAAUCAGUUCUCGGAUGUAUUUUAAAGCGAAGAAGAAAGGCAAAAAGCAAAUGAACUUUUAAUAGCUGCCCUAACAAAAGAAAAUGUCGUGUGCGAAAGCAUCCAGCUGUGAAAUGUAGGUAAGACCUAGGUACUCUUUCAGUUUUAUUUACAACUCAACAUGCAGCUAAGAUAAAUAACUUGAAACGGUAAUUUUUUAGCGCUGUAUUCAGUUUGUUACUUGGGAGUUUAGUAACCACGACGGCGACGCCGAGGACAACGUCGAUUAAAGAAUGAAUUUAUAUUUACUUACGAAUCUCUCGGUACUCUAAGGUCAUUUACUUUGUUUAUCAUUGUCAAAACUAUCACAAAAAUAAAUCUGGAACACAGCGAUGAAUUUGA
rnacentral:lncRNA from 1 species